AGGGGCGAUGUGAGCGGGCGUCGAUUGAUGAGGUUGUUUUGUAUAAACCGCCUGUCAUUUCGACAUUUUCAAUUCAUGACCUGGGAACCAAAAUCAAAUGGGUGUUCAAAGGCUUCAAUUUCAUCUCACAUAUCUUUGAGAUGGUGGUUGUAUGCCUUUAGGGUGUAUAAACUGUUUGUUAUUCUAUAAUACAAGCGCUGGUCUGAAGAUCUCGAUUUCGAAAUUGAGAAGAGAGAGCUGUUUCGAGAUUUGGCUCCAUUGGUACUAUUGCAGCCCUCUUACAGGUUUGUUUUUAUGCUAUUGAAACGGCACUUCACUUUUCCUUUAUGUGCGGUGACAAGUUACAAAGAGAUUGCCUACCAAUGCCUACAUCUUGAACGAGAAAAAAGACCGACAACAAAAGAAGUUUUGGUAGAACUUAAGAAGGCAUUGGAAUUUCAACCCGUGUCAAGCUAUAAUACCUUGGUUUGGAAAGGCGAGCUUGAAGCAUGAAGUGCCCGAGGCGUUAGGAAAAACGCUAAUUUUUUCCCAGAAUCGUUAUUUAACUGAAGCG